UGGGGAAUUUUGGACAAUGGGCGCAAGCCUGAUCCAGCAAUGCCGCGUGCAGGAUGAAGGCCUUCGGGUUGUAAACUGCUUUUGUACGGAGCGAAAUGGCUCUCUCUAAUACAUGGGGAUCAUGACGGUACCGUAAGAAUAAGCACCGGCUAACUACGUGCCAGCAGCCGCGGUAAUACGUAGGGUGCAAGCGUUAAUCGGAAUUACUGGGCGUAAAGCGUGCGCAGGCGGUUAUGUAAGACAGAUGUGAAAUCCCCGGGCUCAACCUGGGAACUGCAUUUGUGACUGCAUAGCUAGAGUGCGGCAGAGGGGGAUGGAAUUCCGCGUGUAGCAGUGAAAUGCGUAGAUAUGCGGAGGAACACCGAUGGCGAAGGCAAUCCCCUGGGCCUGCACUGACGCUCAUGCACGAAAGCGUGGGGAGCAAACAGGAUUAGAUACCCUGGUAGUCCACGCCCUAAACGAUGUCAACUGGUUGUUGGGUCUUCACUGACUCAGUAACGAAGCUAACGCGUGAAGUUGACCGCC
rnacentral:rRNA from 1 species